CGAAUGCUGUGUGACAACAGAGAAAGGAGCGUCCGUUGCCGCCGAAGAAAAAAAGCUAAUGAAGGAAUGCGCAGCGCAGUGGCAGCAGAGUACACACACUAAGGUGUAACGCAUUCAUGAGCAACAGCUGUUUACACAUGCAACGAAAAAAUGAGUCGG